rnacentral:rRNA from 2 species
GGGUUGUGAGGUUAAGCGACUAAGCGUACACGGUGGAUGCCCUGGCAGUCAGAGGCGAUGAAGGGCGUACUAAUCUGCGAUAAGCGCCGGUAAGGUGAUAUGAACCGUUAUAACCGGCGAUACCCGAAUGGGGAAACCCAGUGUGAUUCGUCACACUAUCAUUAACUGAAUCCAUAGGUUAAUGAGGCGAACCGGGGGAACUGAAACAUCUAAGUACCCCGAGGAAAAGAAAUCAACCGAGAUUCCCCCAGUAGCGGCGAGCGAACGGGGAGGAGCCCAGAGCCUGAAUCAGCAUGUGUGUUAGUGGAAGCGUCUGGAAAGGCGCGCGAUACAGGGUGACAGCCCCGUACACAAAAGCGCAUGUGCUGUGAGCUCGAUGAGUAGGGCGGGACACGUGGUAUCCUGUCUGAAUAUGGGGGGACCAUCCUCCAAGGCUAAAUACUCCUGACUGACCGAUAGUGAACCAGUACCGUGAGGGAAAGGCGAAAAGAACCCCGGCGAGGGGAGUGAAAAAGAACCUGAAACCGUGUACGUACAAGCAGUGGGAGCACCCUUUGGGUGUGACUGCGUACCUUUUGUAUAAUGGGUCAGCGACUUAUAUUCUGUAGCAAGGUUAACCGAAUAGGGGAGCCGGAGGGAAACCGAGUCUUAAUUGGGCGUUAAGUUGCAGGGUAUAGACCCGAAACCCGGUGAUCUAGCCAUGGGCAGGUUGAAGGUUGGGUAACACUAACUGGAGGACCGAACCGACUAAUGUUGAAAAAUUAGCGGAUGACCUGUGGCUGGGGGUGAAAGGCCAAUCAAACCGGGAGAUAGCUGGUUCUCCCCGAAAGCUAUUUAGGUAGCGCCUCGUGAAUUCAUCUCCGGGGGUAGAGCACUGUUUCGGCUAGGGGGCCAUCCCGGCUUACCAACCCGAUGCAAACUGCGAAUACCGGAGAAUGUUAUCACGGGAGACACACGGCGGGUGCUAACGUCCGUCGUGAAGAGGGAAACAACCCAGACCGCCAGCUAAGGUCCCAAAGUCAUGGUUAAGUGGGAAACGAUGUGGGAAGGCCCAGACAGCCAGGAUGUUGGCUUAGAAGCAGCCAUCAUUUAAAGAAAGCGUAAUAGCUCACUGGUCGAGUCGGCCUGCGCGGAAGAUGUAACGGGGCUAAACCAUGCACCGAAGCUGCGGCAGCGACACUGUGUGUUGUUGGGUAGGGGAGCGUUCUGUAAGCCUGCGAAGGUGGCCUGUGAGGGUUGCUGGAGGUAUCAGAAGUGCGAAUGCUGACAUAAGUAACGAUAAAGCGGGUGAAAAGCCCGCUCGCCGGAAGACCAAGGGUUCCUGUCCAACGUUAAUCGGGGCAGGGUGAGUCGACCCCUAAGGCGAGGCCGAAAGGCGUAGUCGAUGGGAAACGGGUUAAUAUUCCCGUACUUGGUGUUACUGCGAAGGGGGGACGGAGAAGGCUAUGUUGGCCGGGCGACGGUUGUCCCGGUUUAAGCGUGUAGGUGUGUGUUCCAGGUAAAUCCGGUUCACUUUAACACUGAGGCGUGACGACGAGGCACUACGGUGCUGAAGCAACAAAUGCCCUGCUUCCAGGAAAAGCCUCUAAGCAUCAGGUAACAUCAAAUCGUACCCCAAACCGACACAGGUGGUCAGGUAGAGAAUACCAAGGCGCUUGAGAGAACUCGGGUGAAGGAACUAGGCAAAAUGGUGCCGUAACUUCGGGAGAAGGCACGCUGACACGUAGGUGAAGUGAUUUACUCAUGGAGCUGAAGUCAGUCGAAGAUACCAGCUGGCUGCAACUGUUUAUUAAAAACACAGCACUGUGCAAACACGAAAGUGGACGUAUACGGUGUGACGCCUGCCCGGUGCCGGAAGGUUAAUUGAUGGGGUCAGCGCAAGCGAAGCUCCUGAUCGAAGCCCCGGUAAACGGCGGCCGUAACUAUAACGGUCCUAAGGUAGCGAAAUUCCUUGUCGGGUAAGUUCCGACCUGCACGAAUGGCGUAAUGAUGGCCAGGCUGUCUCCACCCGAGACUCAGUGAAAUUGAACUCGCUGUGAAGAUGCAGUGUACCCGCGGCAAGACGGAAAGACCCCGUGAACCUUUACUAUAGCUUGACACUGAACAUUGAGCCUUGAUGUGUAGGAUAGGUGGGAGGCUUUGAAGUGUGGACGCCAGUCUGCAUGGAGCCGACCUUGAAAUACCACCCUUUAAUGUUUGAUGUUCUAACGUGGACCCGUUACCCGGGUUGCGGACAGUGUCUGGUGGGUAGUUUGACUGGGGCGGUCUCCUCCUAAAGAGUAACGGAGGAGCACGAAGGUUGGCUAAUCCUGGUCGGACAUCAGGAGGUUAGUGCAAUGGCAUAAGCCAGCUUGACUGCGAGCGUGACGGCGCGAGCAGGUGCGAAAGCAGGUCAUAGUGAUCCGGUGGUUCUGAAUGGAAGGGCCAUCGCUCAACGGAUAAAAGGUACUCCGGGGAUAACAGGCUGAUACCGCCCAAGAGUUCAUAUCGACGGCGGUGUUUGGCACCUCGAUGUCGGCUCAUCACAUCCUGGGGCUGAAGUAGGUCCCAAGGGUAUGGCUGUUCGCCAUUUAAAGUGGUACGCGAGCUGGGUUUAGAACGUCGUGAGACAGUUCGGUCCCUAUCUGCCGUGGGCGCUGGAGAACUGAGGGGGGCUGCUCCUAGUACGAGAGGACCGGAGUGGACGCAUCACUGGUGUUCGGGUUGUCAUGCCAAUGGCACUGCCCGGUAGCUAAAUGCGGAAGAGAUAAGUGCUGAAAGCAUCUAAGCACGAAACUUGCCCCGA